GGGCCCGUAGCUCAGGUGGUAGAGCGGGCGGCUCAUAACCGCCCGGUCGGGGGUUCGAGUCCUCCCGGGCCCAUCA
rnacentral:tRNA from 1 species